GACGGUCUUGUUUUUUUUUAGGUUAAUUGCAAAAAAAAAAGUGUUUAUAUUAUCACUAUUAUUAUUUUUUUGUCUCUAUCUCUCUUCUUUUUUUUUUUUUUUUUUUUUUUGGUGAGGGUUUAAUAUUUUGUGGUGUCAUGUUUUGGUGAUGCCUCGAGUGAAGUGAUGGUGAUGAUGGUGAUUAUUCAUUUGUUUUCUCUUUUUUUUUUUUUCUGUGGAGGUCAUCGCGCCAUCAUCACCAUCAGCUAAUGGCGGGUUUUGAUGGCUCCUGUCGUUUUAAUAAUGGCUGUCUUCAUUUUGUAUAUGCCUAAUUUUGGUCUUUCCGUCACGUGUUCCUUAGUGUGUUAUUGCAAUGUGACCCCUUGUUCUCGCCACGACCACUGCCACUCACCCUGUCACACUACUACUACUACUACUAUUACUAUUACUACAACUACUACUUACUUAUUUACUUACUCACUACAUACCACUUCUACUACUACUACUACUACUUCUACUACUACUACUACUACUACUACUGCUGCUGCUACUACUACCUCAUUCAGCAAUAUCAUAACAACUAAUACAACUACAACCACAAUAUUCCAAUCCAACACCUCUACUACUACUACUACUACUACUACUACUACUACAAUAGACGCAGUACCUCUCACUAAACCACUGCCAACCACUGCAACCACCAGCACUGCCAAUGUCACUGCCUAUUUACUAGUUAAUAACAUAAGGUACACGUUUUGAAGUACCUUUCCUAUGUACUCGUCCCUGCUCACUAGUACAGCCAGGUAACUCCGCCAGGUGUACUAAGGUGGUAGGUAGGAUGAGGAGUACUUGUUUUUGCUGGUACUAGUUAGUUUGAUCCUGUUACUGGUUCUCUUUUGAUAUUGGUACCUAAAUAUUUGAUGGGUAUUGUAAUUUAAAGGUACCUCUUGUUUGUAAUAUCUGUUUGUGUAUGAUUCUUCUGGUGGUUUUUGGGAGAUGAGUGUUUGUGUGUAUGUGUGUGUGUGUGUGUGUGUGUGUGUGUAAAAAUAGAACAAAUCUACUGUCUUUUCUCUGCUUCAGUUGUAGGAAUGACUUAAUCGACAGACCAGUUUCUUUUCAUAACAACAAAAUGAAGAAAAAAAAAAAAACAGCAACAAGGGAAACACGAAAAGAGAUCAAGUAAAGACGAGAAAAACACCAAGUACUGAACCCUUUGAAUUACAGAAAACUGACAGUCGUGUGGGUUUAUAAGGUGUUGAAUUAAUCAUUUCACAUUUAGACAGAAGAAUUAAGAGAAGAGACGGAAAAACAGUGAGGGAGAUUACAGUACUCACAAUCUAGAGAGAGAGAGAGAGAGAGAGAGAGAGAGAGAGAGAGAGAGAGAGAGAGAGAGAGAGAGAGAGAGAGAGAGAGAGAGAGAGAGAGAGAGAGAGAGAGAGAGAGAGA